rnacentral:misc_RNA from 1 species
UCAGCUAAACAAGAAAAGACUAAAUGCUCUGAAAUUGGAAAAAAUGAUGAAAACUACUCAAGAAUUCUCAUCUAAACUUUUUUUUUUCUUCAUCAAAACUAUGUGGUGAACACAUCUUAUACAGCAGAGCUACCAAAAAGGUUCCAGUCAUUAACUUUGAAGGUAGAGACAGCAAGCUUAAAGACCUCAGCCAUCGGCAAAAAUCCAGAUUGUGCAGCCGGAACGGCCAAACCAGCACCAACUGUGCUUGCACUUUCACUCAAAGGAUUUAUUAAGACCGGUUCAUAUGCAGUUAUUAGCACAUCUGUAGUAGCUCCCUUAAGGCGUAAAUUUGCCAAAUAAAUUUUUACAACAUUUUGUGCUUCUCUUCCUUGUCGUCCCUUAGAAAUUGCCAUUUGGCUGACAGCAGUGGUAACAACAGAAGGAAUAUUCCUGUAAUGCAAACCAGGGGCCUCAACUACUCCUGAGUGCUCAAUCAGUGUGCACCCUUCAGCAUCUUGUUCAGUAGCAAGGUCUUGAAGAAACCAGGUGGCACUUCCAUUAUCUCCAACAUCACGCUUAAAAUCUAAGAGCUCAAAGAUCAAGCUUUCAUCACGAGCAGGAUCCACAAAUACCUCCUGAUGAUCAGGAACUUGUCGAACAUUGCUCACAUCCUGAAACCUAAGAGGGAAGGUGCUAACAAUCGCACCUCCAAACAAUGAGCGCUCCGCAUAAAAAUCUUCCGGCAUUUUAGCAGAUAAAAUCCGAAACCAGGAAUCUCGUCCUUUACAACUGAAACGAGCGAGAGUUGAAGAGGGAAUUUUGCAGUUCUAAUGGAGUUUCGAAACUUCGCGGUCUGCGUGUGGGUUU